rnacentral:lncRNA from 1 species
AUCAGAUAAGUUUUUACAAAUAGAUCGGACUAAACCGAGACAGUAUGUUCUCUAAUUCGAUAUAACCAUGGAAAAUAUGAAGAUCUAUUAAACCGAUGAUUUACUCAAAAUUAUGCGGCUUGAAUUCCAGCCAUAAGACCUCACAAGCACUCGAUCCAAUCUGCUGAUAUGAACUCAACCGACGAGAUUGAUCGGACUAUACUGAGGCAGAAUUAAAUCUGUCAAGCUCAUACUAACAUAUUAAAUGAAGAACUCGCAAGACCUUGAUCAAGAACCUAUUACUACUCCAAACAAAAAACAGAUCGAAAGCAAUAACAAGCCUUAGGUAAACUCGCCAAACUACUAGAUAGGAAAUCGAAUU